UACGUAGGGGGCAAGCGUUGUCCGGAUUUAUUGGGCGUAAGAGCGUUUCGGCGGUUUGGUAGGUCCGCUGUGAAAACUCGAGGCUCAACCUCGAGACGCCGGUGGAAACCAUCAGACUAGAGUCCGGAAGAGGAGAGUGGAAUUCCUGGUGUAGCGGUGAAAUGCGCAGAUAUCAGGAAGAACACCCGUGGCUAAGGCGGCUCUCUAGUACGGUACUGACGCUGAGACGCGAAAGCGUGGGGAGCGAACAGG
rnacentral:rRNA from 1 species